rnacentral:rRNA from 1 species
CAUUACCGAACUGUUGACACGAGUUGUUGCUGGUCCUCAAACAGGGGCAUGUGCACGCUCUGUUUACACAUCCACUCACACCUGUGCACCCUUCAUAGUUCUGUGGCCUGGGGGCACUGUCCCCCCUGCUGUGGUCCUAUGGAUUNACACACACACACACUGUAAUAAAGUCUCAUGGAAUGUAUGCAGCGUUUAACGCAAUACAAUACAACUUUCAGCAACGGAUCUCUUGGCUCUCGCAUCGAUGAAGAACGCAGCGAAAUGCGAUAAGUAAUGUGAAUUGCAGAAUUCAGUGAAUCAUCGAAUCUUUGAACGCACCUUGCGCCCUUUGGCUAUUCCGAAGGGCAUGCCUGUUUGAGUAUCAUGAACACCUCAACUCUCAUGGCUUGCCAUGAUGAGCUUGGACUAUGGGGGUUUUGCUGGCCUGGGGGUCAGCUCCUCUCAAAUGAAUCAGCUUGCCAGUGUUUGGUGGCGCCGCAGGUGUGAUAACUAUCUACGCUUGUGGUUUUCCACCAGGUUACCUUUGGCAACAAAGGUUCACUGGGGCUCAUAAAUGUCUCUCCUCAGCGAGGACAGCUUUUUGAACGUUAGAUCUCAAAUCAGGA